rnacentral:rRNA from 1 species
GAUUAGUGGCGAACGGGUGAGUAACACGUGAGUAACCUGCCCUUGACUCUGGGAUAAGCCUGGGAAACUGGGUCUAAUACCGGAUAUGACCUUCCAUCGCAUGGUGGUUGGUGGAAAGCUUUUGUGGUUUUGGAUGGACUCGCGGCCUAUCAGCUUGUUGGUGAGGUAAUGGCUUACCAAGGCGACGACGGGUAGCCGGCCUGAGAGGGUGACCGGCCACACUGGGACUGAGACACGGCCCAGACUCCUACGGGAGGCAGCAGUGGGGAAUAUUGCACAAUGGGCGCAAGCCUGAUGCAGCGACGCCGCGUGAGGGAUGACGGCCUUCGGGUUGUAAACCUCUUUCAGUAGGAAGAAGCGAAAGUGACGGUACCUGCAGAAGAAGCGCCGGCUAACUACGUGCCAGCAGCCGCGGUAAUACGUAGGGCGCAAGCGUUAUCCGGAAUUAUUGGGCGUAAAGAGCUCGUAGGCGGUUUGUCGCGUCUGCCGUGAAAGUCCGGGGCUCAACUCCGGAUCUGCGGUGGGUACGGGCAGACUAGAGUGAUGUAGGGGAGACUGGAAUUCCUGGUGUAGCGGUGAAAUGCGCAGAUAUCAGGAGGAACACCGAUGGCGAAGGCAGGUCUCUGGGCAUUAACUGACGCUGAGGAGCGAAAGCAUGGGGAGCGAACAGGAUUAGAUACCCUGGUAGUCCAUGCCGUAAACGUUGGGCACUAGGUGUGGGGGACAUUCCACGUUUUCCGCGCCGUAGCUAACGCAUUAAGUGCCCCGCCUGGGGAGUACGGCCGCAAGGCUAAAACUCAAAGGAAUUGACGGGGGCCCGCACAAGCGGCGGAGCAUGCGGAUUAAUUCGAUGCAACGCGAAGAACCUUACCAAGGCUUGACAUGGACCGGACCGCCGCAGAAAUGUGGUUUCCCCUUUGGGGCUGGUUUACAGGUGGUGCAUGGUUGUCGUCAGCUCGUGUCGUGAGAUGUUGGGUUAAGUCCCGCAACGAGCGCAACCCUCGUUCUAUGUUGCCAGCACGUGAUGGUGGGGACUCAUAGGAGACUGCCGGGGUCAACUCGGAGGAAGGUGGGGACGACGUCAAAUCAUCAUGCCCCUUAUGUCUUGGGCUUCACGCAUGCUACAAUGGCCGGUACAAAGGGUUGCGAUACUGUGAGGUGGAGCUAAUCCCAAAAAGCCGGUCUCAGUUCGGAUUGGGGUCUGCAACUCGACCCCAUGAAGUCGGAGUCGCUAGUAAUCGCAGAUCAGCAACGCUGCGGUGAAUACGUUCCCGGGCCUUGUACACACCGCCCGUCAAGUCACGAAAGUUGGUAACACCCGAAGCCGGUGGCCUAACCCCUUGUGGGAGGGAGCCGUCGAA